GAUGAACGCUGGCGGCGUGCCUAAUACAUGCAAGUCGAGCGAACGGACGAGAAGCUUGCUUUUAUGAUGUUAGCGGCGGACGGGUGAGUAACACGUGGAUAACCUACCUAUAAGACUGGGAUAACUUCGGGAAACCGGAGCUAAAACCGGAUAAUAUUUUGAACAGCAUGGUUCAAAAGUGAAAGACGGUCUUGCUGUCACUUAUAGAUGGAUCCGCGCUGCAUUAGCUAGUUGGUAAGGUAACGGCUUACCAAGGCAACGAUGCAUAGCCGACCUGAGAGGGUGAUCGGCCACACUGGAACUGAGACACGGUCCAGACUCCUACGGGAGGCAGCCGUAGGGAAUCUUCCGCAAUGGGCGAAAGCCUGACGGAGCAACGCCGCGUGAAUGAUGAAGGUCUUCGGAUCGUAAAACUCUGUUAUUAGGGAAGAACAUAUGUGUAAGUAACUGUGCACAUCUUGACGGUACCUAAUCAGAAAGCCACGGCUAACUACGUG
rnacentral:rRNA from 1 species